UACGUAGGGUGCGAGCGUUGUCCGGAAUUAUUGGGCGUAAAGAGCUCGUAGGCGGCUUGUCGCGUCGGAUGUGAAAGCCCGGGGCUUAACUCCGGGUCUGCAUUCGAUACGGGCAGGCUAGAGUGUGGUAGGGGAGAUCGGAAUUCCUGGUGUAGCGGUGAAAUGCGCAGAUAUCAGGAGGAACACCGGUGGCGAAGGCGGGACUCUGGGCCGAUACUGACGCUGAGGAGCGAAAGCGUGGGGAGCAAACAGG
rnacentral:rRNA from 1 species